rnacentral:rRNA from 1 species
CCUACGGGUGGCAGCAGUGGGGAAUAUUGGGCAAUGGGCGCAAGCCUGACCCAGCGACGCCGCGUGAGGGAAGACGGUCUUCGGAUUGUAAACCUCUUUCAGCAGGGAAGACAAAAGGACGGUACUUGAAGAAAAAGCAUCGGCUAACUCCGUGCCAGCAGCCGCGGUAAUACGGAGGAUGCGAGCGUUAUCCGGAUUUAUUGGGUUUAAAGGGUGCGUAGGCGGACUGUUAAGUCAGCGGUAAAAGCCCGGGGCUCAACCCCGGCGAGCCGUUGAAACUGGCUGUCUUGAGAUGUCGAGAGGUAGGCGGAAUGCGCAGUGUAGCGGUGAAAUGCUUAGAUAUUGCGCAGAACUCCGAUUGCGAAGGCAGCAUACCGGCGGCGAUCUGACGCUGAGGCACGAAAGCGUGGGUAUCGAACAGGAUUAGAUACCCGGGUAGUC